UACGGAGGGUGCAAGCGUUAUCCGGAUUCACUGGGUUUAAAGGGUGCGUAGGCGGGCAGGUAAGUCAGUGGUGAAAUCUCCGGGCUUAACCCGGAACUGCCGUUGAUACUAUCUGUCUUGAAUAUCGUGGAGGUAAGCGGAAUAUGUCAUGUAGCGGUGAAAUGCUUAGAUAUGACAUAGAACACUCAUUGCGAAGGCAGCUUACUACACGAUCAUUGACGCUGAGGCACGAAAGCGUGGGGAGCAAACAGG
rnacentral:rRNA from 1 species